GAUGAAGAACGUAGCGAAAUGCGAUAAGUAAUGUGAAUUGCAGAAUUCUGUGAAUCAUCGAAUCUUUGAACGCACAUUGCGCCCGCCAGUAUUCUGGCGGGCAUGCCUGUUCGAGCGUCAUUACAACCCUCAGGCCCCCGGGCCUGGCGUUGGGGAUCGGCGGAAGCCCCCUGCGGGCACAACGCCGUCCCCCAAAUACAGUGGCGGUCCCGCCGCAGCUUCCAUUGCGUAGUAGCUAACACCUCGCAACUGGAGAGCGGCGCGGCCACGCCGUAAAACACCCAACUUCUGAAUGUUGACCUCGAAUCAGGUAGGAAUACCCGCUGAACUUAAGCAUAUCAAUAAGCGGAGGA
rnacentral:misc_RNA from 1 species